rnacentral:rRNA from 1 species
CUCGUAGUUGGAUCUCGGUGCCGGUCUGGCGGUCCGCCUCGCCGCGGUCUCACUGCCAGUCCCGGAGCCAUCCCGCCGGCCUUCCCUCGGUGCUCUUUACCGAGUGUCUUGGGUGACCGGAACGUUUACUUUGAACAAAUUAGAGUGCUCCAAGCAGGCGCGUCCCGCCCGCAUAGCCCAGCAUGGAAUAAUGGAAUAGGACCUCGGUUCUAUUUUGUUGGUUUUCGGAACCCGAGGUAAUGAUUAAUAGGGACAGACGGGGGCAUUCGUAUUGCGACGCUAUAGGUGAAAUUCUUGGACCGCCGCAAGACGAACUACUGCGAAAGCAUUUGCCAAGAAUGUUUUCAUUAAUCAAGAACGAAAGUUAUAGGUUCUAAAGCGAUCAAAUACCGCCCUA